rnacentral:lncRNA from 1 species
GGGAGACAAAUCUUGAACAAUGUGACCAUCUGUUUUCUUAUAUAAAUGACAUGGCAUCUCAAAGAGAUGGACUGGAAUUGGAAUGAUGAAAAAAGUUGGAUAUCAGUGUCCAGGACACUAGCAGGGAAAUUUAUAGGGAAGGAAAAAAAUCAAUGUUGCUGAAUUAAUUUGGAGGGAAAAAAAAGAAAGGAAUUCUCCUUUACUGGUCUGUACAUGAAAUAAGUAUCUCUCCUACUAAUUUGCUGCAAGGUAUUUUAAGCAAGGCUAAGAAAACAGGAAUAGUGCACA